UACGGAGGGUGCGAGCGUUGUCCGGAAUCACUUGGCGUAAAUGGCGCGUAGGUGGCUUUUUAAGCUGGCGGUGAAAGUCCGGGGCUCAACCCCGGAUCGGCCGUGCGGACUGCAAAGCUCGAGCACUGUAGAGGCAGGUGGAAUUCCGGGUGUAGCGGUGGAAGGCGUAGAGAUCCGGAGGAACACCAGUGGCGAAGGCGGCCUGCUGGGCAGUGGCUGACACUGAGGCGCGACAGCGUGGGGAGCAAACAGG
rnacentral:rRNA from 1 species